CGGGGCGUAGUUCAGUUGGCUAGAACGCUUGCAUGGGGUGCAAGAGGUCGCAGGUUCAAGUCCUGUCGCCCCGA
rnacentral:tRNA from 1 species